rnacentral:rRNA from 1 species
CACAAGGGAGCUUGACUGCGAGACCUACAAGUCGAGCAGGGACGAAAGUCGGGCUUAGUGAUCCGGUGGUUCCGCAUGGAAGGGCCAUCGCUCAACGGAUAAAAGCUACCCCGGGGAUAACAGGCUUAUCUCCCCCAAGAGUCCACAUCGACGGGGAGGUUUGGCACCUCGAUGUCGGCUCAUCGCAUCCUGGGGCUGUAGUCGGUCCCAAGGGUUGGGCUGUUCGCCCAUUAAAGCGGUACGCGAGCUGGGUUCAGAACGUCGUGAGACAGUUCGGUCCCUAUCCGUCGUGGGCGUAGGAAAUUUGAGAGGAGCUGUCCUUAGUACGAGAGGACCGGGAUGGACGCACCGCUGGUGUACCAGUUGUCUUGCCAAAGGCAUAGCUGGGUAGCUAUGUGCGGAAGGGAUAAGUGCUGAAAGCAUCUAAGCAUGAAGCCCCCCUCAAGAUGAGAUUUCCCUGUUACUUUGUAACGUAAGAUCCCUGAAAGAUGAUCAGGUUGAUAGGUUAGAGGUGGAAGCGCGGUGACGUGUGGAGCUGACUGAUACUAAUCGAUCGAGGACUUAACCAAUAA